CAACCCAGUCAUACUCGUGGGGGCGGAGGGAGGGGGCGGAGAGCGCGAGUGGGAAGCAAGGCAGGGCAGGGAUCCGAGGUCCUGCUGUGGCCAGGUCGCGGGAGGAGGCGCUGUCUGCACUUCCGGAAUGCGGGGGUAGAAAAGAAAACCAGCUGGAAGAGGUUGGUGGGGACGGGGAUGGGCAACAGGCUGGUCCCCCAGAUCCUGGCUAAGCUCCCUCUCUCGAAGCCGCAGGAAGGCCGCAUUCCACCCUCCUGCUCCCGCCAAGGUGACUAAAAUGGGACACAGGAAAAGUAAAUAAUCUAUACAACUUCACAGAGCCAGUAAGAAUGAAAGCUGGGAUUUAAAUCCAAGCAAGACUGCCCCGAGGAGAGAAGCACCGCUCCACCAUGCCCUUCCAUCGAGAAGCUCUGCCUCCCCUCAGGCCACAGCAAUAGAACCAGCCUACCAGGGACUGAAACCUCUGAAACCGUACGCCCAGAUACAUCCUUCCUCCUUUAAAUUGUUUUUCUCAGGUAUUUGGUCACAGUAAUAAAAUGCUAACACAUACUCUUUUUGCAAAAGUUAGUGAUUGUGUUGGGAAUUUAGCUCAGUGGUUCUGCCGCCUGCCUC